rnacentral:rRNA from 1 species
AACUUCUGAAUGUUGACCUCGGAUCAGGUAGGAAUACCCGCUGAACUUAAGCAUAUCAAUAAGCGGAGGAAAAGAAACCAACAGGGAUUGCCCUAGUAACGGCGAGUGAAGCGGCAACAGCUCAAAUUUGAAAUCUGGCUUUUCGGGCCCGAGUUGUAAUUUGUAGAGGAUGAUUUUGAUGCGGUGCCUUCCGAGUUCCCUGGAACGGGACGCCAUAGAGGGUGAGAGCCCCGUCUGGUUGGAUGCCAAAUCUCUGUAAAUCUCCUUCGACGAGUCGAGUAGUUUGGGAAUGCUGCUCUAAAUGGGAGGUAUAUGUCUUCUAAAGCUAAAUACCGGCCAGAGACCGAUAGCGCACAAGUAGAGUGAUCGAAAGAUGAAAAGCACUUUGAAAAGAGAGUUAAAAAGUACGUGAAAUUGUUGAAAGGGAAGCGUUUAUGACCAGACUUGGGCUUGGUUAAUCAUCUGGGGUUCUCUCCAGUGCACUUUUCCAGUCCAGGCCAGCAUCAGUUUUCGCCGGGGGAUAAAGGCUUCGGGAAUGUGGCUCCCCUCGGGGAGUGUUAUAGCCCGUUGUGUAAUACCCUGGUGGGGACUGAGGUUCGCGCUUCUGCAAGGAUGCUGGCGUAAUGGUCAGCAACGACCCGUCUUGAAACACGGACCAAGG